GUUUGAUGAAGACGGCGCGAAGAAUGAUGCAUAGCGUCUAGAAGUACCAGUCAGCAUAUGCGUUUGAUCACCGUUUUCUUACUUCAUCGCUGCCUGAUGAAGAAAUGAAGGAAUGUCACAACUUUACUGACAGAGGAGAAGACAGUUUUGGCAAAAAUUUGUGCAGAAUUUGAGACGGAGAGAAUUAUGUUGGGACCAUUAGUGUCAGCAGUCUUUGCCAAAAUGGAUCCACAAUGCAAAACAUAUGAAGAUGUUUGCAAAUCGAAGAAGAGUCCUUGGACAAAGAAUUAAACCCUCUUGGUGCCCAUUACACAGGAACUCGUGGAUGGAACGGAUGAAGGACAGACGAUAGCACACACCUCACCGCAAAAGGUAAUGGAGAUGAACAAUUGGAGACGCUGGAGACGACAGACGUUGGAGUGGAGUGUAGGAGAACUCACUGGAGAAGGCACAGGAGGUAAGUACACAAAGGAGGUAGGAGUAGCAUAGAGAGUCCACUUCGUAUGAACGAGACUGGACACUGGAGUGAUGUGAGGUGUGUGCUUAUGAAGCCAGCUUGAUGAGGGUGCAGAUGAUGUGCAGGUGUGUGCAUUCAGUAUUCAGAUGAGGGUGUGUGCUGUGAUUGGGUGGUGAGCGAGCCUGGCCGAUCUGUGACAGUAACUUGAAAAUUACUUCUGUUGUCUUUGAAAUAUGGUUAAAGGCUUUAGCACUGCUAAAUGUGCUGACAAGUAUUCAUGAUAAACUAAAAUAUACUUCAAUGUCAUUUCUAUUGAAACUUGUCAU